rnacentral:rRNA from 1 species
AUUGAACGCUGGCGGCAUGCCUUACACAUGCAAGUCGAACGGCAGCAUGAUCUAGCUUGCUAGAUUGAUGGCGAGUGGCGAACGGGUGAGUAAUACAUCGGAACGUGCCCUGUAGUGGGGGAUAACUAGUCGAAAGAUUAGCUAAUACCGCAUACGACCUGAGGGUGAAAGUGGGGGACCGCAAGGCCUCAUGCUAUAGGAGCGGCCGAUGUCUGAUUAGCUAGUUGGUGAGGUAAAGGCUCACCAAGGCGACGAUCUGUAGCUGGUCUGAGAGGAGGAACAGCCACACUGGGACCGAGAAACGGCCCAGACUCCUACGGGAUGCAGCAGGGGGGAAUUUUGGACAAUGGGGGCAACCCUGACUCAGCAAUGCCGCGUGUGUGAAGAAGGCCUUCGGGUUGUAAAGCACUUUUGUCCGGAAAGAAAUCGCACUUACUAAUAUUAGGUGUGGAUGACGGUACCGGAAGAAUAAGGACCGGCUAACUACGUGCCAGCCGCCGCCGUAAUAC